UUAAACUUUUGGCUGCUGGUCUUCUUGGAUGAGACUCCCAGAGUUGGAUGGAAUUGUGAAGCCAUGACAAGCCAUUAUUCCAUGGCCAGUGGAACCCCUCUGCAGUGCUGGCUGCCAAGCUGUGCUGAUCUGCUCAGCACAUACAACAUGGCCUGGAAAUUGGAAAGGGUGGUGUCCUCCAUGGAGCUGUCCCAAGGGCCCAACUACUAGAAGGUAUGAGAAAUCAAGGUGAACCUACUAAGACUACCUGCAAAGAAAGGAAGAAAAGAGUUCUUCAGGUCUGAAUCAGUGCUAGAAGCUUGUG